rnacentral:lncRNA from 1 species
UUCUUAAGACAAAAAAAAAAAAGAAUAAUCCGAGUGUUGGCCCUUGGAGUCAUGAUAUGACAUUUAAAGUCGCGAUCGCCGAAAAAGUCCUAACCACACCAAAACGUUAUUUCGGGCAUUUUGAAGUGACAGUGAGACAUUUUUUGCAGAAAGUGAUAGUUGAGAAUUGAGAUAUUAUGUAUUGAAAUUGUGAUUCCGGAGCCUUUUCUCUUAAUCCCGGCCUCGCUUUCUCGAGAUAUUUUUUUAUAAUUUCAGACUGUGCGGAAGCAGGGGGUGCAAUGUAGUUAUUUGAUAAGAUGCCUUAAAGAAUCAUAUGCAUUGAUUUUGGUUGUAAUUUCUUACACUUUGGUAGAAUAAUGAGGGAAAAUGAUUUAUAGUCUUGAAUGCUCUCUUUCGGGUUAUUUGAUAUUUACAUGUGCAUUGUCCAGAUGUUUAUAAAGCUGUUUGCUGCGAAUAUCGUAAGCAGAAGGGACUCUAGAAUUGAUAGUAGCUCAGUUGGGUACACAUGCAAGUUGUAAAUUUGUCAAAUAUAGAUUUUGCUUCUAGGUCAUUUCCUAAUUUUCAAAUUAUAUAUACAUAUUACAGAAAUUGAAAAGAUUGCUCACUGUCUCGUUUAUUUAGCAUCAGACCAAAUGACCAAUGAGCAUGGAAUAAAAUAUAGGAGUACAAUUUAUAUCAUGUUCUCUCUUUGCAGGGAAGUGCUUUCAGUGAUGCAAUGAUAUCGGCAAGGACGCAGAAGAAAGUCUGCUUAACACCUUCUUCAAAGUUUUUCCGCGUUAAUUUUAACAGCCAGCAUAGACUCUGCAAUCACACAGUACAAGAAGGAUAAGAUAAAAUCUUUGGCUGUAAGUUUAUAUCUUACAUACGGAGUACUACUUAAAACAUACUUAAAUUUUUGUAUGCUCUAGUUUUAAGAAAUGCAAGACUGCCGUUUGCCUGUUUCUGGUAUUUGUCUGCUAUGAAAAGUUGUCGUGUUCAAUUCGUUCUCCUAGUGUGAAUAUCAGAAAAUGUAGAGCCAUGCGGCACUAUUUUGAGUUGGACCGGUAUCUUAUCUCUGAUUUUAGAUGAACAAGCGACCUAAAAGUAGUCACUUGCUUACUUUAAGUUUCUAGCUAGAAAAAAACUUACUGUAAUAUGUAUCGUUACUUUUUGAACUAAAAACUAAAGACACGAACAGAAAACCAAUAACAUAAAGCAACUUUUCAAUAACUCCAAAUCAAUCAAUACCUUGAGUUGAGGUACAUUUCAUUGUCUGUAAAUAUUUGGCAAAAUACAACUAUGUUUAAAUUUGCAGUUACAAUUGCUGCCAAGAUUAACUCUUGGAACUAAUUUGCAGAAAAGAAAACUUCAGAGCUAAUGCACUUUCCUUGUUUCCAGUGUAUAUCAGUUGUCACAUUUAUAUUAUGUUAUUUGCUUUUGAAACUUAAGAGGUCCUAGACAGAAAUUUGGACAGAGAUCGAAUGCUUAAGAUCUCCAACAUGUAUACUGUGAUCACCCAUUGGAAUUCUUCGAAUUCCAAACUUGUCCACAACACUUAGAUGUUUGCACACGUCAACAUGAAUUCUGACCCUUUGUUGAGCUCCCGCGACCACAUGAACUUUUUCAAAUCCAAUCAAUUGCUUAUUCGAAUCUGAAUUUGCAGCACCAGGAGGCGACGAGUAUGCAAGAAGAGUGUGUGGACCAUCCAUAGUCCCUGUGUUCUUAACAUCAACAUGUACACCCACACUAAGGCCUUCACAGUUCACGUGUAUAACUCUGAGAUUGUCAUUCAAAAUUGUUGAAUUUUUGAACGAGUGAUUGUUGGCCAAUGACACCGCAACAGAACUUGGACCGUGGGCUAAAGUGUGGGCAAAGGUUGUGUAACUUAAACCAUGACCAAAUGGAAAAAUAACUGGUCCUUUAUAGAAGCGAUAAGUUCGACCAGGGUAGCCUCUUGCUGGAUUCGCCCUCAUGUCCAUGUUUGUCAUUGGCACCUUCGCUAAGUAACUUUGUGGGUACCAUGUCAUUGGCAGCUUCCCCCCUGGAUUUGUCAUGCCGAACAAGACGUCAGCAAUUGCAGUGCCACCUUCUUGGCCAGGGUAUCCAGCCCAUAUAAUAGCAGUUAUCUUGGGAUCUGCCUUAGCAAAACCAACAUCGAUAGGCCCGCCAGACAUGAGAACCAAUAUGGUCGGGCCUCUAGAGGCCCUGGCAACUCUAGAUAUCAGUUCUUGUUGAUGUCCAGGUAGUAGAAUAUUUGAUCGGUCUCUAGCUUCAGCUUCAAUGGAUUGAUCAAGCCCCAUUACUAACACAGUUGCAUCUGCCUGCCUGGCAGCUGUCUCCGCAGCUCCAAAAAGCUGGUUAGAGUUGCAUGCAACACCUGUGCAACCAGCCUGAUGAGUAGUCCUAACGUAUCGUGCUAUACCUUGCACUGGAGUAGUGUAUCCACACGCCACACCUAAAACAAAUCAAAUAGUCAAAACCUCUAAUUCAAAAUUUUAUUACUAAACAAAAUGUUCUGCCCAUUUUUUAUUUGGUUACUAUUACUGUUCUGCACUUUUGUGUUCAACAUUUGGUUCUCACAAACUUCGUCUUCUCAUAUGAACUUGACUUUGUAUACAGAGUAAUCAUUUUAUAUUUAAUGUGAAAUUUACCAGCGUAGUUGCCAAUCAUGGUCACAGUUGCAUCAGAAUUGGGUCCGAUGACUGCAACAGUAUGGUGAA